UUUGGAAUGGGCAUCGUUAUUUUUUUUUUUUGAAUCGUCCCAUAACUAGUUUGAGCUAAGUAUCUUGAAGAUGUUUGUGAUCCUGAUGAGUUUGAUGUGAAAUGGAGAAAGGGAAACGCUGUAGUGAAGUGCAUGGCGACGAUAUCGUCAAUCGAAUCUAGGGUACCAUCAACAAUAGCUCUGGACUAUCUAUGAGGGCAAUAGCUCGGGAACGUGGUGAAACCCUGGAUGGAUCAUGUAGCCAGGAAAAAGGCAUAUAUCUUCCAGCAAGACAGUACCACACCUCGAAAAGGAUCUAACAUUGGCUUAUUGAGAGCCUCCUGUACUUCUGGGACGAGGAUGUCUGGUCGCCCAAUGUCAAUCCUUCGUACUUUUUAGAUAGGGCGUGGCUGAGAAGGUCCUGUUGCGCUUGGAAGAGAUUGUGGCUACUGACGAAGAUUUUAUUUGAAAUAUGUAGAGUUUUGUAAAAUGUUAAAAACCGGCGUCAAUAGCGAUCAAACAUAACAUUAAGAGGCCAUAAUUUUUGAAAAAUACAUAGCUGAAUGUGAUUUCAUUUUGUAGGGAUAAUAAAAGUACUUCCUAUACGCUAUAAGUUCAAAGGCCAAGGUCACACAAAAGGGAGAGGUUUGCGUUCUAGCGAGUGCCCAUUUUAGUUAUGUAUGGUUUAAAAAUUGAAAUAAAUCAACAAAUUCUGCAAAAAAUAAAUUAUUUAUUUCUUUUCCUACAACAUACGAAAAUAUUGUAUUAGAUCUAUUGCGUAAUAAUAUGUGCAUAAUAUUUUAUUUUAUUGCUACUCUGUUCGAUUACUCAGUAAUUAAUUAUUGUUAUUUCUUUGAAUUAUAACAUGGAUUUGAUUAUUUUUUGAGACCCAGUGAUGUACAAAUUUAAUAAAAAUAUGAAUUGACGGUUUUGUCAUUUUUCGAAGUUGAUGAUAAGUCCAAACAGAGCUUCUGAUCUCUCAAAUCGCCCCAACCACCAUUACCUUUCCGAAUUUUGGAGUUUUUGGACUUUCUGUUUCCAGGAAUGACUUUCAGUUUCUUUGGAUAUAAAUACUUUUUAGCUUUACUCAAAAUAUCAUUUACUUUCUUAACGACGGAUGCAGCCUGACAAUUGGACUUCUUAUGAUGCACACCACUAGAGAAAAAAGUUGAAAUAAAAACAUGUAUUAAAUAA
rnacentral:lncRNA from 1 species